CCUAAACGAAGCCUGGCUGUAAACGAAGAAGAGCCCAGUGUGUGGGAUGAGGAUUUGGUUCCCCUGUAGCUCGAACCCGCCCUGGGAAAAAGCCUGGCCGUCAUCCUUUCUCCACUGCACGGUGUCAGUGGUAAGAUUAGGAUUGUAUUCACCUGGCAGUAGAGGGAAGAAAGGCUCAUUGUUACAACUUUGAGGUCCCAGAUCCAACUGAAUGGACUUCUGCCAGAAGCCCUGUCGUUUUUAUGCCCGGCCUGCUACUAGCACAAAAGGGGAAACUCCAGUGAUGUCACCCAGUGAGUGGAGACAUAGCAGAGCAGCAGCAGCAAACUGGCUGUGGAGAGUUGGUUAUGGUUCAAAGGAAAAUAAAAUCCACAGACCAGCUCCACCAAACUGGGAUUCCAAUGGAACUGGUUUCGUACAUCACCCUUUCCAAACCACCAAACAGGUUUUUGACUUCUCCAUGUUGACCCAAUCUGGCUUCCUUAUUUCGCUGCCCUCCCUGACUGGUUGAGCGAGUUCGGAGCACAACACGGUUUAUUUGUGGGAUUUCCAUCACCUGAUCUGAGUUUUGUUUGCAUAUUGUUUCAUCUAAUUCCUGUUUCUGUUAAAUCAGUUAUCAAUUAGUGAUAAACAAGCACUGUAUACCAUGGUUACAACUCUCAUUUUGAUAUCAUAUUUGGAACGUAUUUGCAUCCAUAGCUCUGUCUAUUAAUUUGAGAGUGGUUAUACUUAAGUUUGAAUUCUCUGUUGUUUCUUGCUUUCUUCUUGUCACGUUCCUGACCUUAUUUCCUUUGUUCAGUCUUGUUUAGUUGGUCAGGACGUGAGCUGGGUGGGCAUUCUAUGUUAUGUGUUUCUAUGUUGGGUUUAUUGUUUGGCCUAAUAUGGUUCUCAAUUAAAGGCAGGUGUUUGUCAUUGUCUCUGAUUGGGAACCAUAUUAAGGUUGACUGUUUUCACUGUUUGUUUGUGGGUGAUUGUUGCCGUGUCUGUGUUUGUUCGCCACACGGUACUGUUUUCGUUCGUUUGUUAUUUUGUCACGUGUUUUUCGUCUUCGUUUAAUAAUUAAAGUAUGUCUUCAAACCACGCUGCGCUUUGGUCCGAUCCUUGCUCCUCCUCAGACGAGGAGGAUUACGACGAGCGUUAAACUUCUUUAUUAAUUUUUUUGUAAAGGGUAUUGAGGCUUUUGUUAAAUGCACUUUUAAAUAAACUGUGAUUUGAUGAUU